GACGAACGCUGGCGGCGUGCUUAACACAUGCAAGUCGAACGGAAAGGCCCUGCUUUUGUGGGGUGCUCGAUUGGCGAACGGGUGAGUAACACGUGAGUAACCUGCCCUUGUCUGUGUGAUAACUUCAGGAAACUGGGGCUAAUACCGGAUAUGAGCUCCUGCUGCAUGUUGGUGGUUGGAGAGUUUCGGCGGUGGGGGAUGGACUCGCGGCUUAUCAGCUUGUUGGUGAGGUAGUGGCUUACCAGGGCUUUGACGGGUAGCCGGCCUGAGAGGGUGACCGGCCACAUUGGGACUGAGAUACGGACCAGACUCCUACGGGAGGCAGCAGUGGGGAAUAUUGCGGAGUGGGCGGAAGCCUGAUGCAGCAACGCCGCGUGCGGGAUGACGGCCUUCGGGUUGUAAACAGAUUUCGAAUGUGACGAAGCGUGCGUGACGGUAAUGGGUAAAGAAGCAACGGCUAACUACGUG
rnacentral:rRNA from 1 species